CAGUGUAUUCUUUCUUGAUGACAUGUUGCCAUUACUGGAGGAUAAAUUUUACUUUAGAAAACUCUAAGGAAACUAGAGUCAAGUGUACCCUGGACGUGAAAGCAGUGAGCCACCUCUCAACCGAAGAGGAAAUAUUUACCUUUAAUGUUAUUUGGUUUAGCCUUUUCAUCAGCUAAGAGUUGCUCUGGGUGGCCUAGAACCCAGGAUGUGUCUAAGUGCUGCAGAAUGGGGACCAAACUUUCAGCACAUGGCCUUGGUGGAGCUUUUAAGAUCUAAACCUUAGAAAUCAACAUCCAAUUAGAAGUGAAUGGUAACACUGAAUAAAAACAGAGGCUCAGAGGAAAACAGUA